UACAGGGGGUGCAAGCGUUGUCCGGAAUUAUUGGGCGUAAAGAGCUCGUAGGCGGUUUGUCGCGUCUGCUGUGAAAACUCGGGGCUUAACUCCGGGCCUGCAGUGGGUACGGGCAGACUAGAGUGCGGUAGGGGAGACUGGAAUUCCUGGUGUAGCGGUGAAAUGCGCAGAUAUCAGGAGGAACACCGGUGGCGAAGGCGGGUCUCUGGGCCGUAACUGACGCUGAGGAGCGAAAGCGUGGGGAGCGAACAGG
rnacentral:rRNA from 1 species